rnacentral:lncRNA from 1 species
GUUCAUGUGAGCAAAUGCAUUCACAAGGAUCAAAUCCACCUUCUGCCAUGGUUCCCUGGAUAAACCUGAACUUUUCUGUGAACACCGUGCUCCGGCCGCCGUCGCGGGGCUGCGGAGGGAGAGAGGUCCGCGGGGCGCUGCGCGGACGGGGCGGGCGGACUCGCUGAGGCGGCCCCGCGGCUCGGCCCCGCUGCUUGGGGCCGGCUCACACGUCAGCCGCCACGAGACCCGGAUCUGUCGGCUCCCGGCGGCGGCGGAGGGCCG